rnacentral:rRNA from 1 species
GACGAACGCUGGCGGCGUGCUUAACACAUGCAAGUCGAACGAAGAGCGGUGGACGCUUGCUUCUAUCAAUCUUAGUGGCGAACGGGUGAGUAACGCGUAAUCAACCUGCCCUUCAGAGGGGGACAACAGUUGGAAACGACUGCUAAUACCGCAUACGAUCUAAUCUCGGCAUCGAGGAUAGAUGAAAGGUGGCCUCUACAUGUAAGCUAUCACUGAAGGAGGGGAUUGCGUCUGAUUAGCUAGUUGGAGGGGUAACGGCCCACCAAGGCGAUGAUCAGUAGCCGGUCUGAGAGGAUGAACGGCCACAUUGGGACUGAGACACGGCCCAGACUCCUACGGGAGGCAGCAGUGGGGAAUCUUCCGCAAUGGACGAAAGUCUGACGGAGCAACGCCGCGUGAGUGAUGACGGCCUUCGGGUUGUAAAGCUCUGUUAAUCGGGACGAAAGGCCUUCUUGCGAAUAGGGAGAAGGAUUGACGGUACCGGAAUAGAAAGCCACGGCUAACUACGUG